UGCCUUUAAGACGAGGAUAACAACCGGAAGGUUACUAAGACUGGAUAGGAAACAAAAAGGCAUCUUUUUGUUUUUAAAAGACCUUCUUACGAAGGUAUGCUUAAAGAGGGGCUUGCGCCACAUUAGUUAGUUGUUAGAGUAAAAGCCUACCAAGACGAUGAUGUGUAGCUGGACUGAGAGGUUGAACAGCCACAUUGGGACUGAGACACGGCCCAAACUCCUACGGGAGGCAGCAGUAGGGAAUUUUCGGCAAUGGAGGAAACUCUGACCGAGCAACGCCGCGUGAACGAUGAAGUAUUUCGGUAUUUAAAGUUCUUUUAUUGAAGAAGAAAAGGUAGUGGAAAAACUAUAUUGACGUUAUUCAAUGAAUAAGCCCCGGCUAACUAUGUGCCAGCAGCCGCGGUAAGACAUAGGGGGCGAGCGUUAUCCGGAAUUAUUGGGCGUAAAGGGUGCGUAGGCUGUUAGAUAAGUCUAUAAUUUAAUUUCAGUGCUUAACGCUGUCUUGUUAUAGAAACUGUCUUGACUAGAGUGAGAUAGAGGCAAGCGGAAUUCCAUGUGUAGCGGUAAAAUGUGUAAAUAUAUGGAGGAACACCAGAAGCGUAGGCGGCUUGCUGGGUCUUUACUGACGCUGAGGCACGAAAGCGUGGGUAGCAAACAGGAUUAGAUACCCUGGUAGUCCACGCCGUAAACGAUGAGUACUAAGUGUCGGGGUAAAACUCGGUACUGAAGUUAACACAUUAAGUACUCCACCUGGGUAGUACGUACGCAAGUAUGAAACUUAAAGGAAUUGACGGGACCCCGCACAAGCGGUGGAUCAUGUUGUUUAAUUCGAAGAUACACGAAAAAUCUUACCAGGUCUUGACAUACUCUGCAAAGCUAUAGAAAUAUAGUGGAGGUUAUCAGGGAUACAGGUGGUGCAUGGUUGUCGUCAGUUCGUGUCGUGAGAUGUUAGUUAACCUAAAACGAACGCAACCCUUGUCGUUAAUUGCCAGCACAUAAUGGUGGGGACUUUAACGAGACUGCCAAUUAAACAUUGGAGGAAGGUGAGGAUUACGUCAAAUCAUCCUGCCCCUUAUGAUCUGGGCUCCAAACGUGAUACAAUGGCUGUGACAAAGAGUAGCUGAAACGCGAGUUUUUAGCCAAUCUCAAAAAAGCAGUCUCAGUUCGGAUUGAAGUCUGUAACUCGACUUCAUGAAGUUGGAAUCGCUAGUAAUCGCGAAUCAGCAUGUCGGGGUGAAUACGUUCUC
rnacentral:rRNA from 1 species